UGAGCAAAUAGAUUCACCCGUGUGUGCCCACCAAAAAUAGUGUGAUUAUCCUUAUCGGAAAAUUGCACUCCUUUUUUUAGGAUGCGAACUGUUAGCUGCCACUGCCAAAGCUUGAUCUCUCGAGGUAGAAUAUGCUUGAGAAAAGUAUACAAGGAAAUUAAUGUGCCAAGGCGAUCUUUCUCUUUGCCAUAGGAGGAGGGGUCGAUCGACAUCUAUAAGUACGGGCCCUUCGGCGAGCAGCAUCUGCAAACAAACAAAGCUCGAAGCCCCCAGCUAGCUACAGCCCACCCACGUUACGAUGGCGUCCUUCGCCAGAGCUGCCCGUUUCAUGGUGCUCCUGCAGAUCGCGCUCUUCGCCGUCUCCGCGGUGAUCAUGAGCAGCUCCGUCUGCUACGGAGCCGGGAUCAGUCCUGGUGCUCUGGACCCUAGCCGCCGCCCCAUAUGCAGAGGCAGGCCGUGCGGACAGCCUGGCCUACCGUACGGCGGCCGUCCUCGGCCCUACCCUUACCGUCCGCAGCCCGGCCCUGGAGCCCCUCCGCCGUACAAUGGAGGGAUUGGACGACCAUGAUCAUAGCAGUACAAGUUGCUGCAACAACCUUACUGAACCGGGAGUGUAAUAUCCGGUCGUACGAAUAACUCCCGUUUAUUACUGCGAAUAAAACUGCAAAUCUGCCCCCCAUAUGUGAAUGGGUGUGUGAACGUGAAA